UGAUUGGAAAGGCUCUCAUACUGGAUCAGAUAAUUAAAUAUGUCCAAGUCCUACAGAUUCAAGUGGAGUUCCUUGCAGCAAAACUUGCUUCUGUAAGUCCCAUAUAUGACUUUGAAGUGGACUCCGACUCACACACACUUGCCCAGGAGAAGACUCGCAGCUUGGAUUUUCAAUUACCAGCUGUUCUAGAAUCCAGCUCCACCCAGCUCACAUCUUUCCCGGCAGAGAGUUCUACACGUAUUGGACCAAAUUUCCUGUUACCUAAUCAGGAGCAAACUUUGAUAAUCAAUCAGUUUCAGGAUAAUACCAAUCAGUUAUGGGGCACAGAUGACAGCCAGAGA